rnacentral:lncRNA from 1 species
AGUACGGGUCGUACUACCUGCCGGGCGCGGGCACGCCUCCAGCCAUGUUUACCUGUUCCGCCCCGUCCUCUUGCAAAAUGGGGCACGUGUCCGUGCAGUGGUCCAUGCUAGUACAGAUUCCACACACCUUUGCUCGCGGCGUGUCUCUCAUGACUAAUUACCUAACAACAGACGUCAAUUCUGACAGUUGCUGGUGUAUGGAUAAAGUCUCUACCUCAUUGACUCUACGGGGAGGGUUGCUCUCACGGAAGCCAAAUUGCUGGGAGUUCUCUGCCAUGGCUUUGAUGAGCUCCCACGCCUCCCUCGGUGUCUUGUUUGCAAGUGCUCCCCCACUCGCAGCGUCAAUGAUACUCCUAUCGGUUGAUUGGAGCCCUUCAUAGAAGUAUUGGAUUAACAGUUGUUCACUAAUUUGAUGCUGCGGGCAUCUAGUGCACAACUUGUUAAACCUUUCCCAGUAUUCAUACAAGAACUCACCGGGAUAUUGUUUAAUGCCGCAGAUCUCCUUCCUCAAACUCGCAGCCCGGGAUGCAGGGAAGAAUUUUUCUAAAAACUUCUUUUUUAACUGUGCCCAUGUGGUAAUAUUACCCGCUAGUAGGUAGUAUAACCAAUCUUUUGCUGCAUCUUUGAGAGAGAAGGGGAAAGCUUUAAGUCUUAUCUGCUCCUCAGUGAGCCCAGGAGGUUUCAUGCUAGAGCAAACUAACUCGAACUCCUUGACAUGUUUGUGGGGUUCUUCGCCAGAGAGACCAUGGAAAGAAGGUAAGAAGUGAAUCAGUCCCGACUUCAGUUCGAAAGCAGUAUUCUCUGCCAAAGUGGGGAAUGUGAUGCAUAAGGGCUGGUGAGUCAACUCCGGGGCAGCCAGCUCCCUUAAUGUUUGGGCGUUGGCCAUGCUUAUUUCGUCUUCUACUGACUCGUUUGCAACAAAGAAGUGUCCUUCUUUUCGUCUCUUGGUCUCUUGCCUCCGCCUACGCGCUGCCUUCUCAACCUCAAGAUCGUAUAUCAAUUCACCUGUGCGAGAAGAACGGGGCAUAAACUAACAAAAAUACCAAGAAGAAUAAAAUAAAAUAAAAACUGAAUUUAAAAAGAAACAAAUAAUCCAAACGCCAACUCCGGGGCAACGGCGCCAAAAAUUGACAGGUGCCGAAUCUGUGCAAUAAUAAUUACUAAAAAGUCUUAAUUACCACAUCAAUUAAAUAAUUAUAGAACAAAUCCAAGUACUGGAGCAGGGACCCUAGGUGUGCAAUGGGUUACUUGAUUCACCCUGUUCCCGAAGAGUUUGCUUGAUCCGAUAUACCGGAUUUAUCUAUAAAAAUACUAAUUUUGCGUACAAUGGCAAGUAGGGUCGAUUCCACAGGGAGCAGAUAGGAAAUUAUUUCUUUCCAAAUUAGUAGAACGAAAUUGGGGGAUUUUCAAUGGGAGACAAAUAAAAAUAAAAUAAAAUAAAACAAACAAAAUUCAAAACUAACUCACAAAGCACAAUUCACUAAAAAUAGCAAUUAAUAAAAGUUCUACCCAAAGGAUCAACUGCUCAGGCACGGUCCAAAUAUAUACUCAUCGAUGCAAAGAUAUUUCAUCCAUUUAUCACUAGGUUGGUUAUAGCCAUCGAUAAGCUCUGACAACCAGCUCUUCCUUACUUUUUCGACAGUCAAGGUACGACCAUUGACUGCUUCUCUAAUCAGAUAACAACCCUAGGUACGACCGUAGGAAUUUAAUUAUCCAAUUGCAUUAAAACUAGAAGAACCCAACCCUAACCAAUAAACACGCUAAGAGGGUUUAUUUAAAUUAGAUCUUGCGUUUCCCCAUCAUAAAGCCAAUUAUGGUGGUUGCUAUGGGGUGUUAACUAAAUGAACAAUUACGGAUUCUGUUUAAUUAACGUGGCAGUAGGCUAUUAAAUUAAAUUAAAUACCCGACCGUUGAUAUUCAAUCAAUAAAAUACCCAUGAACAAUUAAUUCAGGAAACGCACGAAUAGCAAUAAAUUGGAAGAAAUAAUGAAAAUUCGAUUAGAUCUCACAGAUGUUAUGGACCGCGCCUUCGCGUUAACUUUUUGGUAGAUGAGGAAAUUAGCCGCUCCUUAUCGUGUCAAUCCCGCGUGGUUUAAUUGAGUUCAUUCAAUUAAUUGCCGAAGAAUUGGAAAAGUGAAACAAUGAAGGAAUAGUUUCUUCGUAUUCUGCGUCCAAAAUGGAGCCCCGCGCACAAGGGGAAUCUUCUUCCCUAAUUGCGGCUAGAGAGGAAAGAAAAAUCCAAAAGCGUCUGACAAAAGAAGAGACAAGACGAAAGCUAAGGUCCUCCUAAUUUCGAAUGUGAUUGCUGCGGAAGAAAAAAAACAAAAGAGCCGCCGAACUGUCUGACAAAUCUUCCCCUAAAAAAAAAGUAGAAAAAGAGAAACUAAGGCUAAGAGUCGUGUCCCCUUGAAUCUUGUUUUUUCCUUUCUUUAUAGCCGCCGCAGGAGCUCUCAGACGUUUGGCCCAAUUCAUUCCAACAAAAGCUAGCCUUUUGGAGUUUUUAUCCCAUGCUUCUCGCGGUUCACGUGGACCGUAGUCCCGCUUUCGAUAACGUCUACCUUCUAAGGCGUGGCCACGCUCUGAGACGAAAAGUCUUCUGGAAAUUUAUCCCGCGAGAUCAUUUUUCAUGCCGACCACCUACAAUUCACACAAAUAUCGAAUAUGAGUGAAAUUUCAAUUCUUAGCACCGUGAAUAGCCAAAAUUAGGACAAAAUAACGGUAUAAAAUGUGCCAAAUAACCGCUCUAUCAGUUUGCAACCCCAGGACAACAAAAGACAUAUAGCCCAUUUAAUUAACAAACCAAUAUCCAAUUUCAGAUUUUGCACAUAUAUAUCCUUUGAAAUACUAUGAAGACAAGUAGUGACUACUGUCUGUUUCUGGCGGAUCAAGUAAACUAUAAGUAGUAUUAUUCCCACUCGAAAUGCCUUUGUCAACUAGUAAGUACUAGUAUAUUCUCUUUCGACUCUGCCUUCCCUUCCCUUCCCCGUGAAAAGCUAUCUGCAGCUACGCAUAGAGUUGAAUAUCGCAGGAAAAAUGGAGGAGGAAACGAAAACGUUGGAGAUAGUUAAAGCUCGUUCAGACAAGAGAGAGUACCGAAGGAUUAUCCUCAAGAAUUCUUUGACAGUCCUACUGAUUAGUGAUCCUGAAACCGAUAAGGUUUUGCAGUCUUUCUUCAUCUAAAUCCACCUUUAUUCUUACUAUUUUCUUUUUCAUUUUCUGCUAAUUUGAUUCAUUGCACAGGGAAUUGGAUUCCUCCAUUAUUUUAUUGAUGCUAAAGUUUCUUCUUCUUCUUCUUCUUUUUUAAUCUUUCUCUUUGUUUUUUUGUUUUGUGGGUGGAAUUUAAUUUAGUGUGCUGCUUCAAUGGAUGUUGGAGUCGGCAAUUACAGCGAUCCUGAAGGUUUAGAAGGCCUUGCCCAUUUUCUAGGUAACAAGUUCCUCACCUCAUUUUCUUUUAUUUUUAAUUUUUUUUAACGGAGGACUUUUUUGACGCAGAAGUUUUUAUUCCACUUUCCUUCUUGCAUGCUGACGUGGAUUUUGUAAGUUUGUCUUAAAAUUCAAUUGUCGGCUAUUGAAAAGGAAAACAAGAAAUACCAGGGAAAAAAAAAAAUAGUAACCGGAGGAGAAAGAAGAAAGACUCUCUGUGUUUGUAAUUAAUUUUAAGAAGACUUUGGUGGCAUUAUUUUAUAUUUGACGUAAAAUAUGGAGCAUGACUUUGGUGUUCGUCCUUUAGUUAAGUCUUGAAAAAGCAUAGCAUUAUUAUUGUUUCAUAAGGCUUGAAUAUUGGGGUGUUUGGUGUUUUGGUACCAACUGCCAUUUUCUAGUCUAGCUAGUUGCUUCCCUAUCUUGUCAGGAAUAAAAUGAAAGAAAAAGGUCUUGAUUGAUUGAUAGAAUUCUACUUGAUGUCAUGUCUUUGUUUCUUCGAGAGUUCACAUUUAUAUACUUUUUUUUUUGGCCUAAUAACUUUAAUGCUCAAUUUGUGUUCUGGUUUCCUUCAAUUAUUUAUGAUUAAGAAGAAUAUAUUACCUUUCAGCAGCUUAAUUAUAUGAGCUUUGUGCUUAUAUUUUGAUGAUAUGAAAAUAAUGAUUCGUUUGAGAAUUAUAUACGAGUGAUAUAACAAAAACUCAACUACAAAAACAUGGAUUUCUCCAUUUGAUGACUUGAUAUUUCACCUUUAUCAUGUUCUUUUUCGUUUUCUGAGUUAAAUAUCACCAACAUUAGGUGACAUUAUUGAUGCUCUGUUUGGAUUCCCUGUUUUUUGAGUGUUUUUCAAAAACUAGUUUUUCAAAUAUAAUAAAAAUUUUUAAAAAGUACUCUAAAAGGUAAUCUAAAAAUUAGUUUAAAUUUUUUUAAAAUUUUAAAAAAUAUCUCAAAUAUAUUUUAGAAACUUUUCUACUCUUAAAUAUCCCAAAAUAUUUUCUAAAAAUAUUCCAAAAUAUACUCUAAAAACUCUGC